CCUACGGGAGGCAGCAGUAAGGAAUAUUGGACAAUGCUCGCAAGAGUGAUCCAGCCAUGCCGCGUGCAGGAAGAAUGCCCUAUGGGUAGUAAACUGCUUUUGAACUAGAGAAAACCCCAGUACGUGUACUGGGCUGAUAGUAUAGUUAGAAUAAGCAUCGGCUAACUUCGUGCCAGCAGCCGCGGUAAGACGAAGGAUGCAAGCGUUAUCCGGAUUCAUUGGGUUUAAAGGGAGCGUAGGUGGACUGAUAAGUCAGUGGUGAAAUCUCCGAGCUUAACUCGGAAAUUGCCAUUGAUACUGUUGGUCUUGAGUACAGUUGCUGUGGGCGGAAUAUGACAUGUAGUGGUGAAAUACAUAGAGAUGUCAUAGAACACCGAUUGCGAAGGCAGCUCACAAAGCUGUAACUGACACUGAGGCUCGAAAGUGCGGGGAUCAAACAGGAUUAGAUACCCUGGUAGUCCGCACCGUAAACGAUGAUUACUCGCUGCUAGGGGGCAACCUUUAGUGGCUUAGCGAAAGCGAUAAGUAAUCCACCUGGGAGUACGCCGGCAACGGUGAAACGUCAAAUGAAUUGACGGCGNGAGAGNGCGAGGACGACACGAGGGAGGAGG
rnacentral:rRNA from 1 species